rnacentral:rRNA from 1 species
GACGAACGCUGGCGGCGUGCUUAACACAUGCAAGUCGAGCGGUAAGGCCCUUUCGGGGGUACGACGAGCGGCGAACGGGUGAGUAACACGUGGGUGACCUGCCCUUAGCUCUGGGAUAAGCCUGGGAAACUGGGUCUAAUACCGGAUAUGACUCCAUGACGCAUGUUGUGGGGUGGAAAGCCUUGUGCGGCUAGGGAUGGGCCCGCGGCCUAUCAGCUUGUUGGUGGGGUGAUGGCCUACCAAGGCGACGACGGGUAGCCGGCCUGAGAGGGCGACCGGCCACACUGGGACUGAGACACGGCCCAGACUCCUACGGGAGGCAGCAGUGGGGAAUCUUGCGCAAUGGGCGAAAGCCUGACGCAGCGACGCCGCGUGGGGAUGACGGCCUCGGUUGUAACC